rnacentral:misc_RNA from 1 species
GGUGUUUGGAUUGUCGCCGUCGGCUGGCUCUGUGCUAGUCCAUCGAACUGUCGACGGGCAAUCCUCCUCACUUGUUGUGAGUUCGAAUGGUGCCUCGGUGUGUCCCCUUGCGGUUCUCGCGUUGCCUACCCGCUCGACGGGAACCAACCCCCUGAGAGAUUUAGCCUCCGUCCGGCGCCUUGCRAAGGGCGCCGGAGGACGACGAAGCGCCCCCCGUGUGCCGCCGAGCCGUCAUCGGUCGUGUGGCCCAUGGGGGCGCGCUAUGCUCCCGGACCCAGUGCAUGCAGUGGACGGGGGGCGAUCGCCCCUCUUAGUGCCCCACGAGAACCUUCGAUCUCCUGUGUGACGGCCGCGCCCGCCCCGUGAACUCCCUCGCGGGCCACGGGCGGCGCGCGACGUCGUGAAGGAUUGCUACCUGGUUGAUCCUGCCAGUAGU